rnacentral:lncRNA from 1 species
GCUUCUGCAUAUGUCGCAGGCUCAUCAUUGUCCAACAAUAAUAUUUCCCGCAUUUCGCGGAGCCUUCCCCGACCUUCGUGGUUGUGGUGGUGCUUCUCUUGCCAUGGGUAUCUCAACUUGUUCUGCUACGUUAGCAUCACUCAUUGAUUCUUGCCCGAUCGGCUCAUCUUGAACUUCUUCAAGAUGCACUGUCUUUCCACUCUUUUCUCCUUUGAGAAACUCUUUCUCUAGGAAAAUCCCGUUCC